UGGGGAAUUUUGGACAAUGGGCGCAAGCCUGAUCCAGCCAUGCCGCGUGCAGGAUGAAGGCCUUCGGGUUGUAAACUGCUUUUGUACGGAACGAAAAGGUUUGGCCUAAUACGCUGAACUCAUGACGGUACCGUAAGAAUAAGCACCGGCUAACUACGUGCCAGCAGCCGCGGUAAUACGUAGGGUGCGAGCGUUAAUCGGAAUUACUGGGCGUAAAGCGUGCGCAGGCGGUUAUGUAAGACAGGUGUGAAAUCCCCGGGCUCAACCUGGGAACUGCAUUAGUGACUGCAUAGCUGGAGUACGGCAGAGGGGGAUGGAAUUCCGCGUGUAGCAGUGAAAUGCGUAGAUAUGCGGAGGAACACCGAUGGCGAAGGCAAUCCCCUGGGCCUGUACUGACGCUCAUGCACGAAAGCGUGGGGAGCAAACA
rnacentral:rRNA from 1 species